UUUUAAUUUUUUUUUUGUUAUGCAUGUUUUUAUCUUAAUAAUAGUUAUUUUUUCUUACUGAUUUUUCAACUUUGUUUUUGCUCCCUUUCUCCAAAUUUCUUAGAUUUGGUUCUAUCUAAUUACCUUGGACCCAUUGAUUGCAGAAAGAUAUUCAUAGAGGGUUUAGCGAGAGAAAUGACUAUUGCGCAAUUCAUCAAACACUUAGAAAUCGUGGAGAAGACAGUUCAGGUUUGGCAUUUGGAUAGGAGGGAACCACAUGUAUAUUGGUUUAAGGUGGAGUUUCUUCUGCAGUGGCAACACAUGAAGGGUUGGAAACUUCCAAUAGCUGGAAAUCGAAAAUGCAAGAGUAUUUUAAGAUUUACCGCAUCAAACUUUAGGUUCCUAUAUCUAUAAACUAUAGACUGCUUGAUGAUCAAAGAGAGGGAGUGAGGUUUUUACAUGGUUUUCUCAACAACGAUCAUGGAGGCAUACUUGGAGAUAACAUAUUAAUUGUAGAGAGGGAGCAACCAUACCUCGAGAAGGUUUAGAAGGGUGCAAGCGAAACACAGAGCAAUGAACAAUAUCAAUGAUUAUGCAGAAUCCCUCUUUCAGAUGUGCUCAGAAAAUGGUGCGGGGCCAGAAAGAGAUGAGCUUGAUUUUGAGUUUUUGGGGAACAAAACAGGAGAACCUUAUUUGAUUCAGACUAAUGUAUACAAGAAUGAAACUCGUGGGUGUAAGAUGAGGCACAUGCUUUGGUUUGACCCCACAGAGGACUACCACACCUAUUCCAUUCAGCAAGAAUUAGAAUGAGAUCAUGUUAAAGAGGCAUUUGCUUAGUUGAUUCUAACUAAUUAACUGCUAUAUAAUUUUAAUUUUUGGAGUUAUUUGCUGCUGGCUAGGGGACUUAUUAGGGAAUAAUUGAACAUGAACAUGUCAUUUGAACCUUAUGAUCAAAAUUGAAAUAUCUUGAUUAUUUUCUCAAUAGAAGCAUGAUCUGAAAUGUGAUUGUUAUUUUAA